UUGCCGAGUUCUCCACACCACUGGAGACUUCCAGGUGCUUCCUCCCCUCCCAAAAUUCUUCUCCUUGCGGUCUCCCUCGACGCCAAGCCCACAUCCGCCACUCUCCACGCUCGCACACGCCGCCUCCUCCUCCUCGUCACCUCUUCGCCGCAGUGGCUCCCGUCGUCCCACGCCUCCCUCGUCAUGUCGAAGAAGGCGACUCUCCAUCCCUUCCGAGUUCCGAGCUCAUGCUCCCCUCCGCCCCUGGCAUGGGUGAAGUCUAUGUGGGAACACUGA
rnacentral:misc_RNA from 1 species